CAACCUCAACUCAUAUGGGACUACCCCCUGAAUUUAAGCAUAUUAAUUAGGGGAGGAAAAGAAACUAACAAGGAUUUUCUUAGUAGCGGCGAGCGAAAAGAAAUCAGUUCAGCACUAAGUCACUUUGUCUAUAUGGCAAAUGUGAGAUGCAGUGUACGGAACAUCAACAUU
rnacentral:ncRNA from 1 species